rnacentral:lncRNA from 1 species
GUCAGGAGAGUUAAGAAAUUGGGUGUGGUCGUUGGAAAAAGUGGGCGUGGUUUGGGUGUGGUUCGAACAUAACUCUCCGAAAUCAUAACUCUCUGAGAUAACUCUCCGCUUCAUAACUCUCCGUUUAGCGACUUUAGCCGGUCCCAUUCAUUAUAUAAUUGUUCAUCCUAAUUAGUAUGAUUAUAUAAUUGUUCAUCCUAAUUAGUAUUCUUUUGUAGUCGUAUUUUAAGCUAUUCAGAACACUCGAACUCGCGUUUUAUCAUAUCUAAAACGCUCGGCUGCGCCUCGCGUUUUAAAUACGAUAAAACACUCCUUCUAGUGUUUUAAAUACUACGUAAUAGAAUACCCAAUAUUUACGCUGCUGCACAACUUACAUUGCCCAAGUUGACGUUACACAUAUAUACAUUUUCAAACAGCUUGUUACACUGAUUACUGUGUGACAUUUACAUAUAUAGUAGAUAUUAUAAUAUACAAUAUUUACAUGAAUAUGUCAGGAAAUUACAAAUAUAUACAAUUGUAAAUAUACUACAAUUGUGAACAUUUGCAUGUCCAAACUUUAUAAAAAAUUCUCUUAAAUCACGAUCCAUAGCCUAUAUUCAAUACUUACUACCUAUAUGUGUCCCCGAAAUAAAACAAUCGUUGAAGAGCCUUGAAUGACAGAAAAAUAUCGAGCAAGCAUUAGGAGGUUUAAAAACUGAUUAUUGGGCUCAAUGAAAAUCCACCCCAUCAAAUGGUCCACCCCUAAUACAUAAUAUUUCUAAAAUCCAUAUAUAGAAUAGUCGUCGCAUGCAAAUCGGCCAUUUCUACGUGUGAACCUCGUAGGUUUAUAAUUAAAACGGAGAUUAUUUUCAUUAUAAAACAACAAGACAGCACUAUUUAAACUACGAAAAUGUCAGCAAGUUAAUGUCAUCAUCAUUUAAUUCUGCCAAACAGAAGCUCCAAAACUAAGGCGCUUUUUUACAAUAUUUCCAAAAGUUUAAGUUUCCCGAGAAAGACAGCGUAUAGCCAUCAUACAUAAGUAUCAAAUUAAAUUCCAUUGCUAAAAAUUCGAACGGGUGAAAACAUAUUCCUUUCACAGAUCUAAGGCUGGUAGCCUGGUAUACUUUAAUUUAGAGUAUUAUUAUUAGUUGCGGUAGUAAUCAUGUGUUUAUAAAAUGGUCCGUCGUCCGUCGUCCGCCCGCCUUUAUCUACAGCCUCACAUACCAUAGCCCCAGGUGGUCUUCCUGCUUAGACGCUCAUCUCUAACUUUACUUUUAUAUUUUCACUUUUAUAUUUUCACUUUUAUAUUUUCACUUUUAUAUUUUCACUUUUAUAGUCGUCCGUCGUCCGCCCGCCUUUAUCUACAGCCUCACAUACCAUAGCCCCAGGUGGUCUUCCUGCUUAGACGCUCAUCUCUAACUUUACUUUUAUAUUUUACUUUUAUAUUUUCACUUUUAUAUUUUACUUUUAUAUUUUCACUUUUAUAUUUUCACUUUUAUAUUUUCACUUUUAUAUUUUCACUUUUAUAUUUUCACUUUAAUAUUUUCACUUUUAUAUUUUCACUUUUAUAUUUUCACUUUAAUAUUUUCACUUUUAUAUUUUCACUUUUAUAUUUUCACUUUUAUAUUUUCACUUUUAUAUUUUCACUUUUAUAUUUUCACUUUUAUAUUUUUACUUUAAUAUUUUUACAGUUUUAGGCACAAUUAACUUAUUUGACAAUAAGAAAGUUUUUAGGCCGUGCGUAUAAAGACGGUUACAUGCGCGAAAGCUGGAUUCGAGAUCGGUUAGUGAUACGCAGUGGAAUUCCGGCCAUGUCAACAGCCGACGAUAUCGUGUUUUUCGGUUGCAAGUCAGACAUCAAUGAAAUGCUGAAUCACAUACCAUAGCCCCAGGAGGUCUUCCUGCUUAGACGCUCAUCUCCAACUUUAACUUUUAUAUUUUCACUUUUAUAUUUUCACUUUUAUACAUGUCAACAGCCGACGAUAUCGUGGUUUUCGGUUGCAAGUCAGACAUCAAUGAAAUGCUGAAUCACAUACCAUAGCCCCAGGAGGUCUUCCUGCUUAGACGCUCAUCUCCAACAUUUAACUUUUAUAUUUUAACUUUUAUAUUUUCACUUUUAUAUUUUCACUUUUAUAUUUUCACUUUUAUAUUUUCACUUUUUAUAUUUUCACUUCUAUAUUUUCACUUCUAUAUUUUCACUUUUAUAUUUGUUUAUAUUAUGUUUCAGCUCAGCUUUUUACUUUUAUACAACAAUGCAUAUGUCAAACAUGAUUACAAGCUAUAGUCACAUAAUGACAUUGUAUUUUACUGCGCGAAAUGCGUGUUACAUACUGAACGCUUGUUUAAAUAAAGAGCAUUAUCGCGCGCAUAUCAAUAACUGAGAUACGCAUACCGAAUUCGCCAUGCAUGCAGACAGCCUUAGACUCGGUUUAGACGGCGAACUUUCUCAUGCGCCGAACCCGUAGUACAACGAUUUAUAAGUACGACAGAUCUAGAAGAGCUGCAUCUAAACUCUAAAUCAGUUGCCGAGCUUGUGCGGUUGUGCCGUAAGAAAUGAAGCGCUUGAAAAUGUCGCCGUCUGAACCGAGCCUUAUUACGGGAGUAAUGCUAAUGUCUGCAUGGCGAAUUCGGUAUGCAUAUCUUAGACUAUGUGCACACGGUAACGUUUUCGAGCGUUUUCAGCUGUAACGUUUUCAAAAAGUGUCGUUUUCAAGCCGUGUCCACACGAAAACGGAUGAAAACGUCAUCUUAUGACGAAAACGUUCUCAAUGCUAAAAACGUUUUCGGACAAGCGUUUUCACGUUGAAACGCUAAAAAUCCAAGCUGGCGGCUUAAAAUCAAAAUGUUAUAUUUUUGUUUCCUGGAAGCUUAAGAUCUUUCAUUGGAUCAUUAAUUCUUAAGUUAAAAACUUUAGCAACAAAUAAAACAAAAUAUAUAGCCUUUCAAAUGUGUAAUGAUUUAUGAACGAUUUAAAAUGCGGUUUGCUUUCGAAGAAGCGACAGACUUCGUGUCGGUGAUGCUAAACAGUACAUAUAAAACUGUUUACUUUAUGAUAAUGAGCAGAGGACAUUUUAAGAAACUCGUUGACAAGUAAUGACUUUAUCUGGUGGAAAAUGAAUGGUAAUAACAAGCUGCUAGAGAUGGAAUUUUUAUCGAGACAAACAUUUGCAUCUCGUGAAAACGUUUCCGUGUGGACAGAGCGUCAAACUGACAAAAUUGGAAACGACGUUUUAGAAACGCUCGGAAACAUUACCGUGUGCACAUAGUCUUAGUAAUGCGCGCGAUAAUGCUCUUUAAACAAGCGUUCUUCAGUAUGUAAUACGCAUUUCGCGCAGUCAAAAUACAACGUCUCCAUAGCUUGUAAUCAUGUAUUGACAUAUGUAUUGUUGUUAAUAUCACUACAAUUUGUAUUACUAAAUGCCUAUAAUCCCACGUUUAAGAACAUUAUAAUUACACAAAAAUAUAAAAUACAAAAUAUAAAAUACAAAAUAUAAAAUACAAAAUAUAAAAUACAAAAUAUAAAACACAAAAAUACAAAAUAUAAAACACAAAAAUACAAAAUAUAAAACACAAAAAUACAAAAUACAAAAGUAAUUUUAUGCUGUCGCCUCUGGGCUUCUGUAAUAAACCGUGUNNNNNNNNNNNNNNNNNNNNUAUAUUUUGUAUUUUAUAUUUUUGUGUAAUUAUAAUGUUCUUAAACGUGGGAUUAUAGGCAUUUAGUAAUACAAAUUGUAGUGAUAUUAACAACAAUACAUAUGUCAAUACAUGAUUACAAGCUAUGGAGACGUUGUAUUUUGACAACAAAUACGAAACAGACUGACUCAGGGCCGGAUUAACGUUCCGCGGGGCCCGUGGCAUAUUAUUGGAGCGGGGCCACUUGACCACCCUCCCCCCUCCCCAACCGGCCGAACGGCAUUUUAAAUCCUGUAUUGAGUAAGAUUAAAAAAUAUCAUUUUGUAUUUCAUGCGUUGAAAAGUUUCCUGUGUAUUUACAAAAAGAGAAANNNNNNNNNNNNNNNNNNNNUCAAAAUACAACGUCUCCAUAGCUUGUAAUCAUGUAUUGACAUAUGUAUUGUUGUUAAUAUCACUACAAUUUGUAUUACUAAAUGCCUAUAAUCCCACGUUUAAGAACAUUAUAAUUACACAAAAAUAUAAAAUACAAAAUAUAAAAUACAAAAUAUAAAAUACAAAAUAUAAAACACAAAAAUACAAAAUAUAAAACACAAAAAUACAAAAUAUAAAACACAAAAAUACAAAAUACAAAAGUAAUUUUAUGCUGUCGCCUCUGGGCUUCUGUACCAACUUUUACCACUUUUAAUGCAAUAUUACUAAACUGUAAUACUGCCAUAUAUAUUUAAUCUCGCGUUUGUUAUUUGCGCAACAGCAGUUUUGCCGUGGAAUUAAAAUUGCGUGUCAUAUGAUAUUUUAAUAGGCAAAUAGCGUUUGAGAUAUAGGCCUAGCAACAUUAGCAAACAAAUACACUGAAAUCUUGGUUAGCACACCAACUUUUACCACUUUUAAUGCAAUAUUACUAAACUGUAAUUGUAAUACUGCCAUAUAGAUUUAAUCUCGCAUUUGUUAUUUGCGCAACAGCAGUUUUGCCGUGGAAUUAAAAUUGCGUGUCAUAUGAUAUUUUAAUAGGCAAAUAGCGUUUGAGAUAUAGGCCUAGCAAUAUUAGCAAACAAAUACACUGAAAUCUUGGUUAGCACACCAACUUUUACCACUUUUAUGCAAUAUUAGUCAACUUAUAAGAGAACGUGAGACAAAUCAUGCUGAAUUAUUCGACUAUAUAACUCCUAAGACAGACAGACGCAAUAAUCCUUUAUAGGUUUAUUACAAAUAUGUAGACAUUUGAGACGCCGGCAAUGUCUGAAGAAAAGGCAUACUUAAAGCCUUUAAAUAAAGAGUUCGAUGCACAGUUUCUGGUCUUUUACCAUAAUUAUCCAAUGCUGGUUUUAUUCGCUGCAUUAUAAACCUCCUCCACACAAUACCCCUUCUUUAAAAUACCAAACAUUUCGAAUGCAAUUGAGAUAUAAAAUCUCAACAAGAAGACAAUUCAAGAUGGCAAAUGGCCCGCAAAUCAGUCAAAAGUGCAAAUCAAAACCCAUAUUUACACGGCGAGUACGCGCAAUUUCUGAUCGGUUUCGACACCAUAGGUUGAAGCCAUGAAGAUAAACUUUAUUUUAAUUUUCUGGUUUAUUAACAACCUCACUAGUACUGCGUCGUAACAACAUCACUAGUAUUGCCUCGAAAUGCAAAUGUGAAAUGUCAGCAGAAAAAUACGGGCGCUUCCGAUUGCUUCCGAUACUUUACGAAAAUCCGGACUGGACACCAUGAUCAUCAUCGCUCAUCGCGUUUGUGUACUAUGUGAUAAUGGCUAGCCCGCAAACGGGCUUGCCACAAAAAAGUGAGAUGGAAUAACAAAUCGUUCUCAUGAAAAUAACUGAUUUUUUUAUUAAAACAAAAAAAUGUUGCAUUUUAUUAAAUGGAUUUUAACAAUAAGUAUAAUUACGGCUUUUCUUCCACUAUUUUUAACUCAGUUUGAAACUUCAAAUGCGAUAUCAUUUUGGCUUGGACCAUCUAAACUGACUGACAUCAACUUGCUAUAAUUUCUGUUUACAUUACAUCGCAAUUCGAUGACACUCUGGCUCAGACACCAGAAUGUUUUGACGAUUUUUAGCAUUCGUUUAGAUUUUCAAACAACCUGGUCUCUUUUAAAAUACUUUUAAUUUGUUCUUACGUGGUUUUCCAGAUGUAGUGACGACAACAUUAAAGUUUAAAGAAGAAAAUUCUAACAUUUAAACCGACUAAACAAUAACAUAGUAAACUUGCAUAAUUAAGCAGCAACUAAAAAUGAUAGGUUUUACUAAAUCUUUUCCUGUGCAAUUAUUACUAGCAUUGGAAACAAGGAUAAUAGUUUGUUUGAAAGAGAAAAGAACAGGCUUUGAAGUAAGCCUAAAAGCGUUUAACUAGAAAUAGUAUUUCGAAAGUUAUUAAGCACAAAAGAUGAAUUGCGUUUAUUUUGAUACACCCUGUAGACCCUCCGCUUGGGGGAUUCGUCGAAACAUUAUACCCUCAGUGAUGAUAUUUCAAAUAUUCAUAAAUAUCAUCACUUCGGGUAAUAUUCCGCCGAAUCCCCCUCGCUUCGGGUCUAUAAAUGAUAAAUAAACUAUAUGCUAAAAAAAACCUUAACAUUUUAAAAUAAUAGAUAAUUUUCUAUAAGCGUCAGUGCAUAUAGUUUUAAACGUUUCUUCAUUGGAUUGCGAGGUUUCCGAAUGUGUGAUUAAUAUAUCUCCAAUGUUCAUCGCGGAGACUAGUGGCAUUAUCUCACGUGCAUGGGCCAAUAGCGUGAGGUGGUUGGAAAUACGGCUGCUUUUUCUGGACGCAUGUUGGAAAACAAUGAAAGUACUAAACAUUACGUAGUCCACUGUGAAGUUGUCCUUCACGGAGGCCAUGAUCUGACCAUCAUUGACACAAUCACUAGGUCUGCAGGAGGACUUCCAAUAAAACCACCAAGUUUUAAUUAACGUUACAAAUGAACAUUGUUUUCCAUGUACGCGUUUUCCAUGUACGCGUUUUCCAUGUACGCGUUUUCCAUGUACGCGUUUUCCAUGUACGCGUUUUCCAUGUACGCGUUUUCCAUGUACGCGUGUACGUGCACGCGUGUACGUGUACGUGCACGCGUUUUCCAGACAACCAUAAUUAUUCGUUAUGAUCAUAAUGACAUUGUAAAAUUAGUAUUUUAAAUUCUCUUUCCCCUGUUUACAGCCCUGGUAGAUGUGUAUUAUGCUUGAUCUUAAUAUCUAAUUUGCUAUUAUAUAACAAGUGAUGAAAUAUAUAUUUCAAUUGUUCAUUGGUGUCACAGAUGUACAUCUGUCUAAACUACAACAGCUACAAAAUACAGCAGCACUUCUUAUCUGUUCUAUCCCUAAACAUGAUCACAUCACUCCGACUCUCAUCAAAUUACACUGGCUUCCUGUUCGAUUAAGGAUCAAGUUCAAAAUUGCCAUGCUUGCUUUUAAAUGUAUCCAUCACUCAGUAUGCACCUCUCCAUCUUGUCAAUCUUUUAAAAGUAAGACAUACAUCAUGCUAUAGUCUAAGAUCUAACAAAAGCACAUUGCUUGAAGACUAUAGUACAAAAAUAAAGAAAACACUCGGCGACAGAGCAUUCGUAACCUCCACUCCAAAAAUCUGGAAUGAAUUACCUAUGUAUAUAAGAAAUCUGCAUAACUUUAGUAUUUUCAAGAAGCCUUUAAUGUAAAUACUUCAUGUAACAUAUAAUCUAUAUAAUAA